AAGAAGAAGAAAAACAAAA
rnacentral:sRNA from 1 species